AGAGUUUGAUCCUGGCUCAGGACGAACGCUGCGGCGUGCUUAACGCAUGCAAGUCGAACGAUGAAGCCCUGCUUGCAGGGUGGAUUAGUGGCGAACGGGUGAGUAACACGUGGGUGAUCUGCCCUGCACUUCGGGAUAAGCCUGGGAAACUGGGUCUAAUACCGGAUAUGACCCUCCUUUAGUGUGGGGGGUGGAAAGCUUUUGCGGUGUGGGAUGAGCUGCGGCCUAUCAGCUUGUUGGUGGGGUAAUGGCCUACCAAGGCGUCGACGGGUAGCCGGCCUGAGAGGGUGAUCGGCCACAUUGGGACUGAGACACGGCCCAGACUCCUACGGGAGGCAGCAGUGGGGAAUAUUGCACAAUGGGCGAAAGCCUGAUGCAGCGACGCCGCGUGGGGGAUGAAGGCCUUCGGGUUGUAAACUCCUUUCGCCAGGGACGAAGCGUUAUAGUGACGGUACCUGGAGAAGAAGCACCGGCUAACUACGUGCCAGCAGCCGCGGUAAUACGUAGGGUGCGAGCGUUGUCCGGAAUUACUGGGCGUAAAGAGCUCGUAGGUGGUUUGUCACGUCGUCUGUGAAAUCCCGGGGCUUAACCUCGGGCGUGCAGGCGAUACGGGCAUAACUUGAGUGCUGUAGGGGAGACUGGAAUUCCUGGUGUAGCGGUGAAAUGCGCAGAUAUCAGGAGGAACACCAAUGGCGAAGGCAGGUCUCUGGGCAGUAACUGACGCUGAGGAGCGAAAGCAUGGGUAGCGAACAGGAUUAGAUACCCUGGUAGUCCAUGCCGUAAACGGUGGGCGCUAGGUGUAGGGGACUUCCACGUCUUCUGUGCCGCAGCUAACGCAUUAAGCGCCCCGCCUGGGGAGUACGGCCGCAAGGCUAAAACUCAAAGGAAUUGACGG
rnacentral:rRNA from 1 species